AUUGAACGCUGGCGGCAUGCCUUACACAUGCAAGUCGAACGGCAGCACGGGUGCUUGCACCUGGUGGCGAGUGGCGAACGGGUGAGUAAUACAUCGGAACGUACCUUAUCGUGGGGGAUAACGCAGCGAAAGCUGUGCUAAUACCGCAUACGCCCUGAGGGGGAAAGCGGGGGAUCGAAAGACCUCGCGCGAUUAGAGCGGCCGAUGCCUGAUUAGCUUGUUGGUGGGGUAAAAGCCCACCAAGGCGACGAUCAGUAGCUGGUCUGAGAGGACGAUCAGCCACACUGGGACUGAGAACCGGCCCAGACUCCUACGGGAGGCAGCAGUGGGGAAUUUUGGACAAUGGGGGCAACCCUGAUCCAGCAAUGCCGCGUGAGUGAAGAAGGCCUUCGGGUUGUAAAGCUCUUUUGUCAGGGAAGAAACACCGGCUCUAACACAGUCCGGGAAUGACGGUACCUGAAGAAUAAGCACCGGCUAACUACGUGCCAGCAGCCGCAGUAA
rnacentral:rRNA from 1 species